rnacentral:tRNA from 1 species
GAGGGUAUAGCUCAAGUGGUAGAGCACAUGCUUAGCAUGCAUGAGGUCCUGGGUUCAAUCCCCAGUACAUCCC